CUAGCGACUUCAGAGUUUGAUCCUGGCUCAGGAUGAACGCUAGCGGCAGGCUUAACACAUGCAAGUCGAGGGCAGCAUGGGACGAGAUUCGUCAAAGUCCUGAUGGCGACCGGCGCAAGGGUGCGUAACGCGUGAGCAACUUGCCCGUUUCUGGGGAAUAACCGGUGGAAACGCCGACUAAUACCCCAUGGCAUCAAUGAGAGGCAUCUUUUAUUGAUUAAAGAAUUUCGGAAACGGAUAGGCUCGCGUGACAUUAGCUAGAUGGCGGGGUAACGGCCCACCAUGGCGACGAUGUCUAGGGGUUCUGAGAGGAAGGUCCCCCACACUGGAACUGAGACACGGUCCAA
rnacentral:rRNA from 1 species